UACGUAGGUGGCAAGCGUUACUCGGAAUUACUAGGCGUAAAGCGCGUGUAGAUGGUUCAAUAAGUCGGACGUGAAAGCUCUCGGCUCAACCGGGAGAGGUCGUUCGAAACUAUUGGACUUGAGUGUGGGAGGGGAAUUUGGAAUUCCUGGUGUAGCGGUGAAAUGCGUAGAUAUCAGGAGGAAUACCAAUGGCGAAGGCAGAAUUCUGGCCCAAUACUGACAUUGAGACGCGACAGCUAGGGGAGCAAACAGGAUUAGAUACCCUCGUA
rnacentral:rRNA from 1 species